rnacentral:rRNA from 1 species
AGAGUUUGAUCAUGGCUCAGAUUGAACGCUGGCGGCAUGCCUUACACAUGCAAGUCGAACGCGAAAGGGGGCAACCCCGAGUAGAGUGGCGAACGGGUGAGCAAUACAUCGGAACAUUUCCUGUAGCGGGGGACAACCCCGAGAAAUCGGGGCUAAUACCGCAUACGAUCUACGGAUGAAAGUGGGGGACCGCAAGGCCUCACACUAUAGGAGUGGCCGAUGCCGGAUUAGCUAGUUGGUGAGGUAAUGGCCCACCAAGGCUACGAUCCGUAGCUGGUUUGAGAGAACGACCAGCCACACUGGGACUGAGACACGGCCCAGACUCCUACGGGAGGCAGCAGUGGGGGAAUUUUUGGACAAUGGGCGAAAAGCCUGAUCCAGCCAUGCCGCGUGAGUGAAGAAGGCCUUCGGGUUGUAAAGCUCUUUCGGCGGGGACGAAAUGGCGCGGACGAAUAUUCCGCGUCGAUGACGGUACCCGAAGAAGAAGGACCGGCUAACUACGUGCCAGCAGCCGCGGUAAUACGUAGGGUCCAAGCGUUAAUCGGAAUUACUGGGCGUAAAGCGUGCGUAGGCGGUUUCGCAAGUCCGAUGUGAAAUCCCCGGGCUUAACCCGGGAACUGCGUUGGAAACUACGAGGCUAGAGUGCGGCAGAGGGGGGUGGAAUUCCAGGUAGCAGUGAAAUGCGUAGAGAUCUGGAGGAACACCGAUGGCGAAGGCAGCCCCCUGGGUUAGCACUGACGCUCAUACACGAAAGCGUGGGGAGCAAACAGGAUUAGAUACCCUAGUAGUCC